rnacentral:rRNA from 1 species
UGGGGAAUUUUGGACAAUGGGCGCAAGCCUGAUCCAGCAAUGCCGCGUGCGGGAUGAAGGCCUUCGGGUUGUAAACUGCUUUUGUACGGAACGAAACGGUCUGCCUUAAUACGGUGGGCUAAUGACGGUACCGUAAGAAUAAGCACCGGCUAACUACGUGCCAGCAGCCGCGGUAAUACGUAGGGUGCGAGCGUUAAUCGGAAUUACUGGGCGUAAAGGGUGCGCAGGCGGCCGGGUGUGUCAGAUGUGAAAUCCCGAGGCUCAACCUCGGAACUGCGUCUGAAACUACUCGGCUAGAGUACUGGAGGGGGAAACGGAAUUCACGGUGUAGCAGUGAAAUGCGUAGAUAUCGUGAGGAACACCAGAGGCGAAGGCGGUUUCCUGGACAGUUACUGACGCUCAGGCACGAAAGCGUGGGGAGCAAAAGGG